AAAACAGAGAAAAUGAAAAAGGAAACUUCACGAUUUUAUUAACCAGAAUAUUCAAUGCUUAUUAAGCUUACUUAGCUAAGCUUAUAUACAAUUAUUCUAACUAAUUAAACAACUGCAAAACAACUAAUAACAACUUCAGAUUUAGUUUAGCCAUUGAGCUCUUGCCACAUGUCAUUCAGUUACAUUCAAUCUUGUCCAGCUCAGCAGCUCUGUCCAGCUCAGCAGCAACUAUAUCUUCAACAUCCCCCCUCAAGCUCAACCGAGGAAGUAAG
rnacentral:lncRNA from 1 species